AGAAAAGGUAACAUCAGAACCUCUUUCUGCACUCUUAGUUUCUUUCACCGCUUCUUUAAAACACAUACAAUCCUGCAAUGCAGAUACAGAGGUUAUCUCAAGUGAACCACAAGAACUUCCUCAAUGUAAUCGGAUAUUGCCAUGAAGACGAGCCAUUCAACCGAAUGCUAGUUUUCGAAUACGCUCCUAACGGAUCCCUCUUCGAGCAUCUGCACGGUGAGUAGUAAUGCCACUUCUUCCACAGACUCAGUCCCAUGAUCUAUUUUUCAACUAACUGUAAUAAUUUGUUGCAGACCAAGACGCAGAGCAUUUGGACUGGCCAAUGAGACUAAGAAUCGUAAUGGGAAUAGCUUACUGUAUAGAACAUAUGCACAAUCUAAACCCUAAACCCAUCUCUCACACCAACCUCAACUCUUCUUCAGUCUACUUGGCAACAGAUUACGCAGCCAAAAUCUCAGACUUUACUUUCCUCAGCUCCACAC
rnacentral:lncRNA from 1 species